rnacentral:rRNA from 1 species
CAGCAGCGGUAAUACGGAAGGUCCAAGCGUUAAUCGGAAUUACUGGGCGUAAAGCGCGCGUAGGUGGUUUAUUAAGUUGGGUGUGAAAUCCCCGGGCUCAACCUGGGAACUGCAUCCAAAACUGAUUCACUAGAGUACGAUAGAGGGAGGUAGAAUUCACAGUGUAGCGGUGGAAUGCGUAGAUAUUGUGAAGAAUACCAAUGGCGAAGGCAGCCUCCUGGAUCUGUACUGACACUGAGGUGCGAAAGCGUGGGUAGCGAACAGGAUUAGAUACCCUGGUAGUCCACGCCGUAAACGAUGUCAACUAUCUGUUGGAAAGCAUUGCUUUUCAGUGGAGCAGCUAACGUAAUAAGUUGACCGCCUGGGGAGUACGGCCGCAAGGCUAAAACUCAAAUGAAUUGACGGGGACCCGCACAAGCGGUGGAGCAUGUGGUUUAAUUCGAUGCAACGCGAAAAACCUUACCUAUGCUUGACAUACUUGGAAUACUUUGUAAUGAAGUAGUGCCUUCGGGAGCCAGGAUACAGGUGCUGCAUGGCUGUCGUCAGCUCGUGUCGUGAGAUGUUCCGUUAAGUCGGAUAACGAGCGCAACCCUUACCCUUAUUUGCCAGCGAUUCGGUCGGGAACUAUAAGGGGACUGCCGGUGAUAAACCGGAGGAAGGUGAGGACGACGUCAAGUCAUCAUGGCCCUUACGCAUAGGGCUACACACGUGCUACAAUGGAGAAUACAGACGGACGCUAAGCCGCGAGGUGGUGCCAAUCCUAGAAAAUUCUUCGUAGUCCGGAUUGGAGUCUGCAACUCGACUCCAUGAAGUCGGAAUCGCUAGUAAUC